UACGUAGGGUGCAAGCGUUGUCCGGAAUUAUUGGGCGUAAAGAGCUCGUAGGCGGUUUGUCGCGUCGAAUGUGAAAUCCCGGGGCUCAACCCUGGGUCUGCAUUCGAUACGGGCAGACUAGAGUUCGGUAGGGGAGUCUGGAAUUCCUGGUGUAGCGGUGGAAUGCGCAGAUAUCAGGAGGAACACCUAUAGCGAAGGCAGCUUGCUGGGACGACACUGACGCUGAGGCGCGAAAGCGUGGGGAGCGAACAGG
rnacentral:rRNA from 1 species